UCGGAUCAUUACCUGCAUUCUCAACAUUAAUAGUCACCAUUGGUUCCAAAUUGAAUACCAGUCCGACUAUUACUCAUAUCAGUUGUCUGGUUCCUUCCUGAGCAGGUCUGUUACCAAAAAACAAAGGACCAAGGCUUGGAGAUGUUGCUGAUAAGCUCAAUAACCCUCUUGUGUCUCGUCGUGUCAGUGGCCACUGCUAAAUCCAAAGACUGUUAUGAGCGAGGGAUAAACACCUACACUCAUGUGGGCAAGGCGAUCGUCAACAUCCCCUUGGAGAAGAAGAAUGGCGAACUGCCAUAUGGCAUCCGCGUCAGUGUAGACGAAGUCUUCAACGGUGCUUACCGCGUCUCAGCCAUCAUGAAGUCUGGUCGCACGCUGUCAGAGGCCACCUACGCCACGAAGGGUGAGAUGCAAUUUGACCCGAGAUUAGCCCCGUUCAGUAGUAUCAGAAUCAAGUUUGUCCCGGGCAAGCCACCGGGCCUGAUCGUCCGUAGGGACCAGAAACCCAUGAUUCGGAUCCGUUUAUUUGGAUGUUAUAAAGAUUAAACUUGUGUUCAUGUAGUGCUCAUGAAAUUCGGGAGAUGCGCUCUCGUCUGGUUCUUCAAUCGACGUAUUUCUCCAUUUCUUGGCGAUGAUUGAUAAUGCAGUUCUGAAAGAAAACCAAACAGCACCUUCAUCUGAUGGGGUGCUGGACGACAGAACUUUUUUCAAUGUGAUUUAUGAGAACAGGAGGAACACGAUGAAAUGAAGGUAGUCCGGAACAUUACCGAGAAGUCUCUUCGACAUGUUGGGAGUGUUUUGUACUGCAUAACGACAUAACUAUCUGUUAUUUCUAGAGGCUAUAUUGUAUAUAUACGUGUAUAAUCAAUGGUUACUGAAUAUACUCUCUUCGUUAAUUGCAUGCCCACACUCACACAUACACUCAGAAUAAGGCAUGGAACAUGCUAAUGACCAUGCCAUUAGUGAAGCAAUGGAUUAUAUUGGAAUGUACAGAAGUUAUUGAAGAGUCGCCAACCAACUUCAUGACCACCGCUAUAUCUGUGUUUUGUCCUAUCGUUUCGCUGAUUUACCUAGUGAUUUUGUCCAUGCACAGU